GAGGAAUUUCCAUUUUGUAAAGCAGGAAAACGAGGAUCUCUGCUAUUUCCUUUACCACUUAAAAAAGUUAUUGGAGGAACAAGGUUCGGGAGGUGCAGUUUAACGUAUGCUGCAUCAAGUAUUGUAACUGUCUGGUGGAUCUGCCCGGGGGGGCGGGUGGGGGUUGUGGAGGUGUUUAGAAAGACAGUUGUCUUAGAAUUUUUUUUCACAGUAGUACAUUCAUUAGAAAGAUCAGUAAAUGGAAAUGUAUGGGUUUUUUUCUUCCUCCACCUAAUUUUAGAAGGAUGGCGUUUUAUUUUGUUUGCCUAACUCUUUUUCUGUUGAUUUGUAAACUACAUCUGACUCAACUUCAAGACAUUUUACAAAAGUUUGUAUACCGUGUUCAUAAUUGAGUUUUUUCUAUCU